rnacentral:rRNA from 1 species
CCUGAUGCAGCCAUGCCGCGUGUAUGAAGAAGGCCUUCGGGUUGUAAAGUACUUUCAGCGAGGAGGAAAGGUUGUUGGUUAAUAACCAACAGCUGUGACGUUACUCGCAGAAGAAGCACCGGCUAACUUCGUGCCAGCAGCCGCGGUAAUACGAGGGGUGCAAGCGUUAAUCGGAAUUACUGGGCGUAAAGCGUACGCAGGCGGUUUGUUAAGCGAGAUGUGAAAGCCCCGGGCUCAACCUGGGAACUGCAUUUCGAACUGGCAAACUAGAGUCUUGUAGAGGGGGGUAGAAUUUCAGGUGUAGCGGUGAAAUGCGUAGAGAUCUGAAGGAAUACCGGUGGCGAAGGCGGCCCCCUGGACAAAGACUGACGCUCAGGUACGAAAGCGUGGGGAGCAAACAGGAUUAGAUACCCUGGUAGUCCACGCCGUAAACGAUGUCUACUCGGAAUUUGGUGUCUUGAACACUGGGUUCUCAAGCUAACGCAUUAAGUAGACCGCCUGGGGAGUACGGCCGCAAGGUUAAAACUCAAAUGAAUUGACGGGGGCCCGCACAAGCGGUGGAGCAUGUGGUUUAAUUCGAUGCAACGCGAAGAACCUUACCUACUCUUGACAUCCAGAGAACUUUCCAGAGAUGGAUUAGUGCCUUCGGGAACUCUGAGACAGGUGCUGCAUGGCUGUCGUCAGCUCGUGUUGUGAAAUGUUGGGUUAAGUCCCGCAACGAGCGCAACCCUUAUCCUUAUUUGCCA